UUCUGUGGCCAUACCACCCUGAGCGCGCCAGAUCUCCUCUGAUCUGGGAAGCUAAGUAGGGUCAGGCCUGCUUAGUAGGUGGAUGGAAGACCGCCUGGGAAUACCGGGUGCCUUAGGCC
rnacentral:rRNA from 1 species